rnacentral:tRNA from 1 species
CGCAGGUUGGCAGAGUGGAUAUGCACUGGUCUCAUAAGCCAGUAUAAGGUUGGUUCGAAUCCAAUGCCUGCUACCA